GAUGAACGCUGGCGGCGUGCCUAACACAUGCAAGUCGAACGAAGCACCUUGAAGUUUUCGGACAGAUGGGUGACUGAGUGGCGGACGGGUGAGUAACGCGUGGGUAACCUGCCUCAUACAGGGGGAUAACAGUUAGAAAUGACUGCUAAUACCGCAUAAGCGCACAGAGCUGCAUGGCUCCGUGUGAAAAACUCCGGUGGUAUGAGAUGGACCCGCGUCUGAUUAGCUAGUUGGUGGGGUAACGGCCUACCAAGUCGACGAUCAGUAGCCGGACUGAGAGGUUGAACGGCCACAUUGGGACUGAGACACGGCCCAGACUCCUACGGGAGGCAGCAGUAAGGGGAUAUUGCGCAAUGGGG
rnacentral:rRNA from 1 species